CCUACGGGUGGCAGCAGUGAGGAAUAUUGGUCAAUGGACGCAAGUCUGAACCAGCCAUGCCGCGUGAAGGAAGAAGGCUCUGUGAGUUGUAAACUGCUUUUGUACGAGAGUAAACGCAGAUACGCGUCUCUGUCUGAACGUAUCGUACGAAUAAGGAUCGGCUAACUCCGUGCCAGCAGCCGCGGUAAUACGGAGGAUUCAAGCGUUAUCCGGAUUUAUUGGGUUUAAAGGGUGCGUAGGCGGUCGGGUAAGUUAGAUGUGAAAUCCCGAGGCUCAACCUCGGAAUUGCCGUUGAUACUGGUAGGCUAGAGAGGAGUAGAGGUAGGCGGAAUGCAUGGUGUAGCGGUGAAAUGCUUAGAGAUCAGACAGAACACCGAUUGCGAAGGCAGCUUGCCGGGCUAAGUCUGACGCUGAGGCACGAAAGCGUGGGGAGCAAACAGGAUUAGAUACCCCAGUAGUC
rnacentral:rRNA from 1 species